rnacentral:rRNA from 1 species
GUUCCUGGCUCAGGAUGAACGCUGGCGGCGUGCCUAACACAUGCAAGUCGAGCGAACUUCUUCGGAAGUGAGCGGCGGACGGGUGAGUAACGCGUGGGUAACCUGCCCUAUACACACGGAUAACGUACCGAAAGGUACGCUAAUACGAGAUAACAUAUUUUAUCGCAUGGUAAGAAUAUCAAAGCUCUGGCGGUAUAGGAUGGACCCGCGUCUAGAUUAGCUAGUUGGUAAGGUAACGGCUUACCAAGGCGACGA